GAUCAGCACGUGUGUUAAUCUGGAAGCAGAUCUUCCCCUAACUCCUCAUCAGCAAAAUCAUCUUCUUCAACCCUUUUCUUGGCUGUUGUUUUCGGUCUUUCUGUCUGAGGGCCGAGAGGAUCCACAUAGGAGGCAUCUAGUUCUCUGUUACUGCUACUUUCAUAAGGUUCAUUUGUCCCGGGUAAAGCUCUGAGCUUGGCACUGAGGCGUUCACCUUUACUACUCGCAUUACAGUUCUGGCCACUAUCUGAAAACAAAAAAUAAGAAUGCGUUUUGUUGAACAGGUCGAGAAAGCACAUGGCUUAUAUUACUCAUCUUAUAGCAUUUUUAUUGCCAGGAAAAUGGUGGGCUCUUGUAUUUGAAAGCCAAUUUCUGAAGAAGCACUGCGUGUUUUGUGAAUUUUAAAUUGCUGUUGGGAAGGAUCGUAUCGAGAAAGCAUCGUUGUAUUUCUAAGCUGUGUUGAUAAGCUGUGUUUCUAUGCCUCCUUUUCACAUGUGAGCUGAGUCAUGCAUUUCAGUGGUGCAGCUCUGUUUGGAAGAAGUUAAGAGACCACUGUGAUGAGUCUAGCCUGGCAGAGACCUCGCUAAGAACAAAGAACAACUGAGGAACUGUAACACUGUAAGCUUUUGAUCUCGGAAAUCAUUAUUAAACCACUAAUAAAAAUA